rnacentral:rRNA from 1 species
UACGUAGGGAGCAAGCGUUGUUCGGAUUUACUGGGCGUAAAGGGCGCGUAGGCGGCGCGGUAAGUCACUUGUGAAAUCUCUGAGCUUAACUCAGAACGGCCAAGUGAUACUGCAGUGCUAGAGUGCAGAAAGGGCAAUCGGAAUUCUUGGUGUAGCGGUGAAAUGCGUAGAUAUCAAGAGGAACACCUGAGGCGAAGGCGGGUUGCUAGGCUGACACUGACGCUGAGUGAGCGAAAGCCAGGGGAGCAAACGGG